rnacentral:rRNA from 1 species
UACGUAGGAAGCAAGCGUUGUCCGGAUUUACUGGGCGUAAAGCGCGUGUAGGCGGUCCGGUAAGUCCGCUGUGAAAGUCGGGGGCUUAACCCUCGGAUGCCGGUGGAUACUGUCGGGCUUGAGUACGGAAGAGGCGAGUGGAAUUCCUGGUGUAGCGGUGAAAUGCGCAGAUAUCAGGAGGAACACCAAUUGCGAAGGCAGCUCGCUGGGACGUUACUGACGCUGAGACGCGAAAGCGUGGGGAGCAAACAGG